UUUAUUGUUUGGUUUUCAAUUUAGUGUUAUGGGUGUUUUUUUUAGUCCAUUUUUUUUGUGUGAAUCUGCACUUUUUCUUUAUUGGGUGUGUUUUGUUUCUUGUAAUCAAUUCAAUUUGUUUUAUUUGGGUAUGUUCUGUUCUAUUGUUUUCAUCGACGUGUUCAAGGUAGUUUUUUUGAUUUGGUUUUCGAUGAGAGUAUGGUUGAUUUUAAUCAGUAGGCUAUAGUAUAUGUUCCAGAUUUGUAUAUGGUUUUAUUGGUUUCAUUUUAUAUAUUGUUUGAGCCAAAGUUUGAGUCUUUUGGUAUGGUAUGAGAAGUUUUUAGGUGGGUAUUUUACUGAAUUUGAUCCAUAGGUGGAAGGUCCAAGCAUAAGGAAGUUACUACUUUUUGUUUCAUAUUUUGGGGGUGGGGUAAGUAUUGUAUACUGUUAGUAGAAUUAUUUUUUGCUGCAGAUCUGAUGAUCUAUUAAUUUCUUUUGUUUGGAAUGCAACUGUACCUCUAUGGUACAGUUGUAAUGAAUACUAUAGUUGAGAAUGGAAAAACAAAAGCCUCUGUGAAGAACAUACAAGCGAAUUUCUUGAGAACCCAAACUCCUCUUCCUCAAUCAACUGUUGAGCAACUACUCUUCCAUGGAUGGAAUCCUCUAUUGCAAGACUCAUUUCGAAUAGCUUUUUAAGGAAUCUGGAAAUUUUAGCAAGAAUUUUCAGAAUCCAGCUAAGUCUGAGAGGCAAAAUUCACUGACAAGGGCUCCAAGCAAACUCUCUGCUAUGUUCUCUGGAACCCAAGAUAAAUGUGCUGCUUGCGACAAAGCUGUUUACCCACUUGAAAAGCCAAGUGAUGCGGCUAGUGGAUCCCUUUCGCCCAUGGAUGCAAGAAGAUCAUGCGGUGAUAGUAAUCCUAGUGACAACCGUUGAUUUCAUUGUAUUGUUUGGUAGGAACGGAUGUUAGAACGCUGGAGUGAAUGUAUUGUGUUUAAAUUUAGUUUUUGAGUGAUCUGAUAAUGCUACUUAAAUUUUUAGUUUAAAAAACUGAUGGUACUUUAUGAUAACAUUUGUGAUUUUACGAUAUGUUAUUGAUAUCUCUUAAAGUUUUAA